rnacentral:rRNA from 1 species
CCUACGGGUGGCAGCAGUGGGGAAUAUUGGGCAAUGGAGGAAACUCUGACCCAGCAACGCCGCGUGAAUGAUGAAGGUCUUCGGAUUGUAAAGUUCUUUUCUAAGGGAAGAAGAAAGUGACGGUACCUUAGGAAUAAGUCUCGGCUAACUACGUGCCAGCAGCCGCGGUAAUACGUAGGAGGCAAGCGUUAUCCGGAAUGACUGGGCGUAAAGGUGGCGUAGGUGGUUUGACAAGUUAGUAGCGUAACUCCGGGGCUCAACCUCGGCACUACCACCGAAACUGUUGGACUUGAGUGGAGGAGAGGAAAGUGGAAUUCCUAGUGUAGCAGUGGAAUGCGUAGAUAUUAGGAGGAACACCAGUGGCGAAGGCGAUUAGCUGGACUGUAACUGACGCUGAGGCACGAAAGCGUGGGGAGCAAACAGGAUUAGAUACCCCGGUAGUC